rnacentral:sRNA from 1 species
GGGGCACUUCCUCCAGACGCCUCUCCUCCACACCCCUUCCAAAAGCAAAAAGAAGCCUCGAAAGUGAAAUGUAUCUGGGAGGUCUGGGCAGAUCACACAUUGCUUCCCCCAGUCCUUGUCCUGACAGAAUGCCCCUACCAUCACCCACUGAGUCUAGGCACAGCCUCUCCAUCCCUCCUGUCUCCAGCCCUCCGGAGCAGAAAGUGGGUCUUUAUCGAAGACAAACUGAACUUCAAGACAAAAGUGAAUUUUCAGAUGUGGACAAGCUAGCUUUUAAGGAUAAUGAGGAGUUUGAAUCAUCUUUUGAAUGUGUAGAUCAGAAACAAAUUGAAGAACAAAAGGAAGAAGAAAAAAUACGGGAACAGCAAGUGAAAGAACGAAGGCAGAGAGAAGAAAGAAGGCAGAGUAACCUACAAGAAGUUUUAGAAAGGGAACGAAGAGAACUGGAAAAACUGUAUCAGGAAAGGAAGAUGAUUGAAGAAUCACUGAAGAUUAAAAUAAAAAAGGAAUUAGAAAUGGAAAAUGAAUUAGAAAUGAGUAAUCAAGAAAUAAAAGACAAAUCUGCUCACAGUGAAAAUCCUUUAGAGAAAUACAUGAAAAUCAUCCAGCAGGAGCAAGACCAGGAGUCGGCAGAUAAGAGCUCAAAAAAGAUGGUCCAAGAAGGCUCCCUAGUGGACACGCUGCAAUCUAGUGACAAAGUCGAAAGUUUAACAGGCUUUUCUCAUGAAGAACUAGACGACUCUUGGUAACCAUGUUUGCUGCCCAGCUUCUAACUUACAUACCGUGAGAAGUUACAUAACAUUUACUCCUUU